GCCUUUUGCUGGGACGCUGGCGUGGUACCUGAUGCUGGGAAAGAAUUUACCCAUUUUAAGUCUUUAUGCUGCUCAAUAGAAGAAGUUCAGUGAAAGAAGUAACAAGAAAGUACAGAAGAAAUGCAAGGAAAACUAGUUUAAGACAUUUAGUUAUAAAGGAAAAUUGGACAGUGCGGAGACUAAUGAAGCAAAAGGAGUCAAAAGUUGUUAAAAGGUGGAGCAUUCUCUCUCAAGCCAAGGAGUUCUAAGCAUUCUGAAAAAAAAAGAAGAUGAAAGUGAUGACAUUGUGAAUAACUGAAUGACUGGAUGGUAAAUUAAUCUUGCAAGUUCAGAUCGGAUAAAACCUUAGUAUUGUUCAGAUUCUGAAGACAUCACUUACAUUAAUACAAAUGAAAUUUUUGAUGUUAUAACACUGCUCAUAUCAUUGAUAGGGAGUGAAACUUUUGAUAAUGAUUGUCCAAAAUGUUAAAAUGAUGUAAAGGGGCAUUUAGAUGGACUUUGUGCACUGGAAUACGAAGACAGAGGAGAUAGUAAAGUCUGCAAAAGUUCUAACCAUUAUGGGUUAUAUGCAGUGAUAGUACAUGGAGGAGUGUCAAGAAAGCAAUCUAGGCUCUUAACAUUCUUUUACAUAAAACCAGUGAGAAGGCACCUGAGAAUUGCAAGUUUGAGGAGAAUUGUAAAAUGGCAUUUCACAUCAAGGAUAAUGAAGGCAGGCAUGAAUACAAAGGACUGGACAGAAGAUAUCUUACAUCUUCAAAAUAACAGAGAAAACAUGCGAGUACAACCAUACCAUGAAUUUGAUGGAUUGUUUUUAAAGGAUACAGCACUUACAUGGAAAAAGUCACUGAAGGUAUUUUGAGAUGUGACCUUGAAGCAGUUUGACAUCUUUGUGCAUGGCUGCAAAAAUGGCUGUUUCUUCCAACUGUUGUCAGUAGUAAACCUGAUCGAGGAAGUUGUCACAAUGUCCAGUUAUAUUUAGUAUUUCUCACCGAAAACUGAAACCAGUCCAUUGUUACACCAAAAACUAUUACAGCCUGUUCUCCAACAAUGUUUUAAUCAGUGGAGUCUUAUUUCAGUUGUUGAACGAAAAUGCAACUGAGGAGCAUUAUAAAAAUCUGACAGUAGACAAUGAAAGCUAAGGAGCAAUUGCCACUUUUCAGAAAGAAGGUAAAAUGAAUGUUGUUUCUCAAAAAGUUUGAAUAAGAAAUAGCAAAUCAAAAGUGAAAAAUGGAACAGCAAAAUGUGGAGAAGGUUUAGAAACAGCACGCAUACAGAAAGAUUCUUUCACUCAAAACUUAUUAGAUGAGGAAAUACAGGAAAUGGAAAUUAUAUCAAACACGUAUGCAUUGGAAAGCUCAGAUUCUUUAGCAUUGUUAAAAAUGAAAUGGGUGGUUUUGGUUAUACACAGUUUUAGAAAAACGGGUGUGAAAACAAAUGGAAAAAGAGUACCUUGGACUACAGAUCAAGGUUGAUGAUGUAAAUGAUGGAAGUGUUGAUCAUACUAAUACUAAAUAUAUGCUUAGAAUUCAUGAUUUGUACAAAGAAUUGGUACCAACUAUAUCUGAUUUCAGACAUACAGUCUGUAAUUAUGUUGAACAUUCUUUCACAUAAAGUAGUUGAGCAAGAACUGAUCUUUGCAGAUGUAGGAUCAGGCAUUGAACAGACAGUAUGCAAGAACAAAAGCCUAUGAAACAAAGAAUGUAACCAAGAAGAAUAAUAGCCGAUUCGGUUUGAUAAACCUGAAUAAGUGCAUUUUGUACGCAGGUCCAAAUGUUCCAGGUGAAAGGUGUUAAUCAUGUGUCAGAAAAGAGAAAGAAGAUGAAUUAACAAAGAAAUAGAAACAAAGGAUAGAUAAAGAUCCAUCUUGUAAAGGUCAAGAUCUUAAAGAAGCAGUGGAACCAGGACCAAAAUUUGCUUUCUUUCUCGAAAGUAAAUAUAAAUGAGAAGUUAUUGGUAGAAAAAUUUAAAAUAUGUUAGAUAAACUCGAGAAAUGUCGUUGCAAUGAAAGUUUGAAACAUAUUUGAUCUACAGAUAUUGUAGGAUUUUUCUGCAUUGAUGCAUUGAAUGUAAAGAUUUUAAGUGGAAAAGUUUUAAACUUGAACAGGAGAGACUGCUAUACAUAUAUAAUGUUGAUGUGAGAAGAAUUCUUCAGGAUGGACAGUACAUUGACAACUUUCAGCAGGAAAUAUUUUCAUUUUUGGAACGAACUUGUAAGAAGUAAGUGAAAAAUAUUGCAGAACAGCAGCUGUAGGUCUCCAAUUUUAGAAAAAGAGGUAAGUUUGUAGAUAUAUAGAUAGAAUGCGGUUAUUUUAGUAUGGAUCAAAGUAUCUUUCACAGACUUGAAAACAUCAGUCAGCAUGGUGUUCACAAGUGAAUGAUAAGUUGAUCUUUGUUAUAAAUAAGUAUAUGUUAGUUAUAUGUGAAAUACAAUGUAGUUUAAUUUCAUGGGCACAAAAUUUCAGGAUUUUUGCUAAUUUAAAAGCAGAUAUUUUGGGUCUUAUGACUUUGUGGAUUUCAACUUUUGCACAUAGAAUUAACAGGAAAUUUACAUGACUGAGAUUUUAAUUUGUAGAUUGUCUCAACUGUGAAAUCCACAAAAAUAGGCCCCUAUGUUUACUGAUGAUUUUCAAAAUCUACGAAAAUAUUCCCCCAUAUAAUAUGGAAGAUGCAACUAUUGUCUUUUCAAUGUUUUGAAAAAAAGUGUUUACCACAUUUUGAUAAACGAUUGAAAAGUAUCUAAUAAUAAUAGUUUAAGACACUAUAACUUGAAGUCUCUUAAAUAAUACAUAAAUUCACACCAUGCACACUGGACUUGUUCUGAAAUUGAAUACUUGUAUUGUGGAUGUGUUAAGGCGUAAAAAAGAUGUUUGUAACUUGUAAAAUAAAUGCGAAUAAAGGGGUUAUAAUGCCUUUAGAGCUUACUUUAAGUAAGUUGAUUUCUAACAAUUCUGACCAUUUUUUCAGCAUUAAAAGUGCAGUUCUGUAACAUUUUGUUAAAAAAUUGGAAAAGAAAUUCUUCAAGGCAAACAUGAUAAAAGCAUUAAGGGUCUGGCCAAAAGUUUAGGGUAGCUUGAAAUACCUGGUACAAACAAUUUUUUAGGCCUUAAUUAACAGUUUAAUAUUUGUCAGUUGUGUGAAAUUGAAAUAUGUUUGAAACAUUGCUAUAUUGUGUAGACUUAAGCUUGUUUUACAGAACCUGGUGUACUUGAAAGUUUUACAUCUUGUUUACCGGGUAUUAUGUAGUAGAUUCUAUAAAAGUUUUUAACACUGUUAAAUACAUAAUAGUAUACUAUACUGUUACUGUUGUAGACAUAUGCUCAGUACUUCUAGAAACUAAACAGUUUCACCCUUGAUGUUUUCUUACUAUCAUUGUACAUGUUUAUUUGAAUUUUGUGCAGUAGUAUUGUAAAAUCAUGUAGAAAUCUAAAAACAGUCAAGUAAAUGUAGUUUUCUUGUCAAUUAUCAUUGACAUUGACCAAGUGUUGCUGUUGUGUUUCUUGAUGUACUUUGUAUAUGAUAAUAUUCCAAAAAUAGGCUGUAUAUUAUACCUAAUAUGUCGUUUUGGGAUUAGGACUAGGCAGGUUGUUUUCACUUAAAAUAUUUGCAUUGAGAUGUGGGCUAGGAAUGACCAUGCUCAAGUACAUUUGCACAAAAACCUUAAUAUAGUUUUGCUGUAUUGGUACUUUAUAUUCUUGACUUGGUUCGAAAUUUUAAUUGUUAGAAUAUUUUCAGCAAAUUUAAGUUUAAAUCAGUUUUGGAAUACUGUUGUCAGAAAAGUUAAAAAAAAACUGUAGGUUGUACAUUUAUUGUGGUUCAGUUGCUAUGGAAAUAAGAAAAGUUUUAGCUCAACAAGAGAAAUAUAACAGUUUGCAUAUAUAUGCUGGACCUAAUUUUCUUAUAUAGAUAUGAUAGAUAUGGCAGAGCUUCAGAAAAGAGUUGAUAAUGUACAGCAGUAGGCACAACCAGGUUUUAUGAAAAGAGUUAGUUGAUGAACUUGAGCUUUCAAGUUUAUCAAGUUCUUAAUUAAUGGUUACAGGUAUAAUAGCCAUUGUGACUAUUUUAAGUUAUACUUGUUCUAAAUUACAGAAAAGGUUUUUAAAUUAGUGCUUCCAUUUGAUCUUGCACACCAAAUACAGAUUUAUUUCUGAUGUCCACACUGGACAAGUUGACUCUUCAGUAAUCCAGAUUUUUGAGAUAUCCAAACAUAAGAAGUGUAUGGAAAAUGGACGGGGACUACACUGUUACUUCAGUCCUUUCCUGCAUGUUGUAGACUGAUAUUGUAACACACAUAUACCAGAGAAGUUAAUUUAAAAAAGAUAAUGUAUAUAGAAUUCAUUUAAAAGGUUUGCUUUGUGAGAUGAAAAUGAUUCUUUCAAGAGCAAAAUACUAAGCUCCACUUGCUCCAUCACAUUUAAAACAAUUUAACCUUAGAUAUUGUAUCAACUCAUUUACCUCUUCACAAUUUCUUAUGGCCUAAAGCAAAAUAAGCGUGACAUUUUGUAAAAAAAUAAAGUUCUUGCAAAUGUAAAUAACUGAGUUGUUUCUAGUGGGCGAAACUUCAAAUUUUAUCAAACAAAUACUGUUUUAUAGAAAACUUUGCAUUUGUCUUAAAAAAUGCCUAUGACUGACAGAAAAUCUUUGAGAAAUUAAAAAGUGUGUUGAAAAUUACACAAAACUCUAGGACUGAAAUAGAAAUGUGUAUCAGUACCUUUCUGAAUUUUGAGUUAGAUUGGAUGUAGAGGAUGAAAUAUACAUAUAUUUUCUGCACGAAUAACAUCCAAAUAUCAAAAUAAUUGGUAAAAUAAGGAUAAAAUGAAAGCAUAAAAAGAGUAUUGACCAUGUUCAAUUUUCUAACAAGUUGAAACAAUAACUUUUCUUAACAAAAACACAUUUAUCAUAUAUUACAAUGCCAUUAAAGCAAAUAAUCAAAAUUUGAUAAACAUACCUUGAGUGGUUUUUGAGAUAUGAUGUGAAAAAUUAAGUCAUUAUUUUUGGUUCAAACUGUGACUGUUGGGACAAUACAUUAGAUAUUACAGAACAGAACAGAACAGAACAGAACAGAGAAUUUAUUAGUCGAAUGCAUAAUACAGAAUGCAUACAAUGCAGUUAUUUGUGAAAUUGAGCAAAAUUCUUGUUUUUUAAUGCAUUUUCACAAUGUCUGUGCUAUAUGUCAGGAAAUGAGAAUAAUCUAGUAUCUCACUCAUUGAAAAAAAAAAUGCAGUAUUCUGUUCGAUUUCGUUUUUAAUAUGUGUGCAUUUUAUAGUAUUUAAUCAAAUGUACUUAGUGCCAACAUUUACCAUUUUUAUGAAAGCUGAAAAUAAAAGUAGUAAGAAAUAAUUAUAUACGAAUCUUUCUUCUGUUUUGUCUAAAAAUUAUAAAGGAAUUAAUUAAAUAUAUAAAUGUGACUGUUGGGACAUGUUCCUGUGCGAAUUAGACCUUCCUUAUUUUGUGCAUAUUUCUGCAUAUUUUAUUGCAAUAUAAUAUUAAAACAAUAACAAUUGUUUUGGCAUCAUAUUGACCACAUAGUAUUUCAUACUAUAAGAACUAAAUGCCUUAAAGCACUAACCAAUGACAAAUGAUAUUUCAUAAAAAAAAUAAACAAAAAUACAUUUCAUAAUAAUAAUAAUGUAAGAAUACCAAAUUUAACAGUUUGAAACUUAACUUUUAUCAGAACAGUUUAAAACAAACAUCUGUACAUGGGAAAGCUACAUUAAGUACUUAAAUUAGUUUUUUGCAUAAUUACAAAACCGUGACUGUUGGGACACAUUACUACAUGUGUAUUAAUACUAAUGCAUAUUGCAUAAAUAACGGACUUAGCCUUGCCACAGAUUAAAGCAGUAUGUUGAAAGUGUUUGCCUGGCAUGAUAUACAUAGUUUUAUAUCUAACCCUGGAGACUUUGAUUUACAAGUAUGGAAACAAAUGACUAGAAAGCGACAUUUAACCAACUAACAGAAACUUAUUAAUGAACACACUAGGGUAACUAAAGAAAAACCUAUAAUAUGGCUUUUUGAGCUAAACAAGGUUUUUAUUUGAUCUGACAUAAAGGCCUAGUUUUUUUUUUUAGUUUUUUCUACCUCAGGUUACCCAGUGUUUAAGAAGAUUAAAUUGAAAAUGUGGCCUCUAGAGUGUUAACAAGGUUUUUCUAUGAUUUAAGUUAGUGAUCUAGUUUUUGACCUCUGGUAACGCUUUUAAUUUUGACCUAGGUUACAUGGAGACAAACAUUCCGACAAAGUUUUAGGACGAAACCUAAAAUGUGGCCUCUAGAGUGUUAACAAGGUUUUUAUAUGAUUUUAUCUAGAGUGUUGCCACAUUUUUUCUAUGACUUGACCUAGCAAACUAGUCUUUGACCUCAGGUUAUCCAAAUUCAGAAUUUACCUAGGGUGUCAACAGUCAGAUUGUUGAGAAGCACAAUGACAGACUUUGGGUGAUCCCAAUAGCUCACAUUGUGCUAAGGUGAGCUAAAGAUCAGACAAACAGAAGUUACUAAAUGGCAACUCACUACAAAGAAGAUUGUAAAAGACAGACAUAGGAUUGUGUGCAAAUCUAUUUGCAUCCGGGCAGUUUCAGAGCUUAGACUUGAGAGACAAAUUAGCCUCUUGUUCAGGCUUAAUUCUUUUAUUUGUCUUGAUUGUAGUUUUGAAAUUACUCACUCUUUAGUACCAUGCUCGGUAAAACAAAUCCUAAUUUUGCUUUUAUAUACUGGUAGACAUAUAACAAUUACUCAUUGAAUAACCUGUCCACUUGUUUAAGUUUUAUCUAUAUACACAUGUACAUGUAUGUAUUAUGAUGACAGAUCACAUAAUUUGUUUUAUCCAUUCAUGAAAUAAAGCUGAUUUGUGAAUAAAAACUUUUACAAACAGUA